rnacentral:rRNA from 1 species
CAAGCAAGGCAGCAGGCGCGCAAAUUACCCACUCCCAGAACGGGGAGGUAGUGACGAAAAAUAACAAUACGGGACUCUUUUGAGACCCCGUAAUUGGAAUGAGUACACUCUAAAUCCUUUAACGAUGACCAAUCGGAAGGCAAGUCUGGUGCCAGCAGCUGCGGUAAUUCCAGCUCCGAUAGCGUAUAUUAAAGUUGUUGCGGUUAAAAAGCUCGUAGUUGGAUCUCAGUUCCAGACGGGUGGUCCGCCUACCGGUGGUUACUGCCUGUUCUGAACAGCCAGCCGGUUUCUCUUGAUGAUCUUCACCGGUUGUCUUGGGUGACCGGCAAGUUUACUUUGAAAAAAUUAGAGUGCUCAAAGCAGGCGUGACGCCUGAAUAAUGGUGCAUGGAAUAAUGGAAUAGGACCUCGGUUCUAUUUUGUUGGUUUUCGGAACACGAGGUAAUGAUUAAGAGGGACAGACGGGGGCAUUCGUAUUGCGACGCUAGAGGUGAAAUUCUUGGACCGUCGCAAGACGAACUACUGCGAAAGCAUUUGCCAAGAAUGUUUCCAUUAAUCAAGAACGAAAGUUAGAGGUUCGAAGGCGAUCAGAUACCGCCCUAGUUCUAACCAUAAACGAUGCCAGCCAGCGAUCCGGCUGUGUUCCUCAAAUGACACGCCGGGCAGCUUCCGGGAAACCAAAGC